rnacentral:rRNA from 1 species
GACUUGAGCAAUCGAGUUUCCUUCUGCGGCUCAUUUUAAAACACUAGUUAAAGUAUGUAACGAAAUAUCGAAACAAAAAAAACUUUCAACAACGGAUCUCUUGGCUUGCUCAUCGAUGAAGAACGCAGCGAAAUGUGAUAAGUAAUGUGAAUUGCAGAAUUCAGUGAAUCAUCGAAUCUUUGAACGCACCUUGCGCUCUCUGGUAUUCCGGAGAGCAUGUCUGUUUGAGUGUCAUGAACUCUUCAACCCACCAGUUUCUUGUAGACUGAUUGGUGUUUGGUUUCUGAGCGUUGCUGGUCUUCGGAUCUAGCUCGUUCGUAAUAUAUUAGCAUCUCUAAUUCGAACUCGGAUUGAUCAGUGUAAUAGACUAUUCGCUGAGGACACGCUCUUGUAGUGUGGCCGAAUGAGAUCUCAGUAGAAGCUUCCAACUACUUUAGUCAACUUUAGAUUAGACCUCAGAUCAGGCAGGAUUACCCGCUGAACUUAA